GCCCCCAGUCGACCCGCGCUCCUGCUCUCGCCCAAGGCUGGGACUUAGGGAUGCCUGGGUUCCCGGCGGACUCUGCGGCAGACGCGCUGUGUGACCUUGGGCAAGCGUCCCCGCUCUGGGGCCUCCGUUUCCACGAGUAAAAUGGGAUGGGGGUGCUCUGGCCCUGCAAUCUGUGACCUAAAGAAAUCCAUGACCUCUCCGACUUGAGGCCACACGCGUGCCCUCCCCGCCCCAUCUUUGGCGACCCCAAGGAGGUGAACAAUGGUUAUCCCCAUUUUACAGAUGAAGAAACUGAGGCACAGAAUGGUGAAAUAACUCGCCCAAAGGUCAAGGAUGUGGAAAGCCACAGAAGGAAAAAAGUAAUAUUUAAUAAAACAGGCAAGAACGUG